UGGUGGACUGGGGAGUUCUUCCAUUUACUCAUGGAAAAGAUUUACGAUGACUGAACACUACAAGCAACGGGCUCAAAGAUCGGGUUGCAUACUGUUUUUCUGCACAUAGCUAGACUGGCAACGAAUGGUAACAAGCAUGGGAUCUCGACUGAGAGAAAAUCCCGACAAGUUGUUUGAAGUAUUUGUUGAAGUAGCAAAACCAGAGGGAGACCAAGAUCCCUUCAUCGUGGAAAAGUUUCCACCAGAAUAUGACAAUGAGGAGGUUUUAAAGACAAUCCCCAAGUUUGUGUACCCGUGUCAGAUGGAAUGCUCAAUUGUUGAACACUUCACCUUCACCAUGACUGAUUUAGAAAGCAUGUUUUCAUUCGGCUUCUGUCGUUAUGCUUCUGGCACCCAGACCUGUCUUUGUAUUAUCAGUUUUCUGCCGUGGUUUGAAGUGUUUUACAAGCUGCUCAACAUGCUGGCGGAGGUGACGAACCGGAGUGAGAACAACAGCGCGAUCCCCCUGCUGAAGGCCAUGUACCACCAAGACAUUCCCAUGCCCAAUGUACCGGUCACCAUCGUUGCACAACAAGACAUGUUCAGUUUCACGGCGACCGACCCCAACCAACUUCCUAGUAUUCCUAACAGUAGGAAUCUAACAGAGUAUUAUAAUGCUGUUGACAUGCACAACAUGAUGAUCGUAUUUGCAAGUAUGUUAAAUGAGCGUCGUGUCGUGUUCACCUCUAAGAAACUCAGCCGGCUGACUGCCUGUAUUCAUGCUGCAGAGGCGCUGCUCUAUCCCAUGCAUUGGCAGCAUCUUCUUAUACCUGUUCUACCAGCUAAUCUUAUUGACUACUUAAGUGCUCCAAUGCCAUAUGUUAUUGGUGUUCACACAUCGUUAAUAUGUAAAAUCAGGAACAUGGAGCUGGGAGAUGCUGUGAUAGUGGACACCGAUAAGAAUGUUGUCAAAACCGAGUACGACGACUUAGAAGACUUACCUGAGGAAGUGGUAUCCUACUUGAAGAAAAAUCUCAAGAAUGAAAGAUUAAAAGCUUCCAUGCAGAACUCGGGGGAUGCAAUAUCUAAGAUAUUUCUCGAGGCACUCGUUCGGCUGAUAGGAGGUUACCGAGAAGCUCUCAAGUUCAGUAUUGGUGAGCCGAUCACGUUCAUGCCGGAAGUGUUUGUCACGACGAGACCACCGUCGAUGAGACCCUUCCUGGAAAACAUGCUCCAUCUGCAGAUUUUCCAACAGUUCAUCAAUGGACGGCUCGAUAUCCUGAACUGUGGCCAGGGCUUCACGGACCUGUUUGAGAAGAUGGCAAUACUGCACACCGAUAAACUGAACACACAGUCGCGUUACAAGGAGUGGCUUGGAAACAUGAAGAAGCAGCAAAAGAAGUUUUCGAAAGGAGGGAAGGUUGUUUGGUCCGACUUCAAAGAAAAGGCUCCAAUCAUGAUGACCACCGCUGUUCAGUCAGUGAAGACUCAUGGGAAAAAAGCUGUGACUGGGAUUAAAACAAGGUUUCAUGAGAUUAACGAAUCUGGAAAACAUUCUUCCAAGAUGCCAACCCCUUCUACUUCCACAAAGACGUUUAAUAGACAACAACGGCCGGCUACUAUUGUUGGCUCCAAGCUGGAAAUGUCUCGUCCCCCGAGACCACCCCCACCAGGUGGAAAAGUAGCACGAUCUCAAAGCUCGAGAAUGAUCCCACAAUCAACAAAGUACUCUACGAUCAACAUCACGACUGAAGACUUGAGCCGAUUUGAGAGUUUUGACGACAACUGUCUCCCCGACGAGUACCAGCGAGUGAGUGUCAACCUGAUGACCGAUCCAGACAUCCAGUCCGCACUGCAUCGGUCGGCCAGCGACAACAACCUCAACCCAAAAACAGUCUGGUACAUCCACAACUCUCAGAUAGCAGACAGUGAUUCAUCAUCUUCUACUGACCAUUCCGGUAAUGUGACUCCAGGAGUUUCGAGCACCAGCAUACCGUACCUGGGCAUCACAGACACUGGCAGUACCGAACACAUGACAGAACAGCUCAUCAACGUCUCCAAGACCAUGGAGGAGUCGGACUUACCACCAGCCAUAUUACCACGGCAACCACUCCAGAACCUACUAGCCCAUGAUCUCACAGCGCCGCUCAGACCACCAAAACCAAGAACCAAAGAAAAAGAACUCAUCAAGUUCGAUUCCACCGAGUCAGAGUCAGACAUGUUUGAUCCCCUGAAGCAGAAGGUAGUGGAUUUACAGCAGAGGCAACCGCAGGCGUCUGGUCUUGAGAGGGGACUGAGUAACAGAGGAUCGGUCAUCAGCAGGUCUCCGGCUUUUAGGAAGCCCCAAGAAGAGACUCCAAAACGAGCGACGUAUCGACCAGAUCACGAAUCGUCGCCGGAAACCAAUUUUGACGAGCAGUCUACAUCAUCGUUUGACCCGCUGGCGGGCUUCGAUAAAAGAUUAUACCCAGGUUUUCCUCCUGCAGCUCAAGCUACAGAUGAUAAGAUGUUCAAACACGAUAAUGAUUCGUUACUCCACGACUGGACUCUGGGGCACCUGGCAGGAUCCAGAACGAGUCCCGUGACAGUUCCUCCACCCAGACCUUCCCCCCCACUCCACUGUGGCAAAAUCUCACCCGUACCUUCUGGAACCCUUCCCAUGGACCUGGCUACCAGACCAGUGCCAAAACCAAGAAAUUCUAUUGGGAACAAAUUUGAGUCUGUUCCAAUGUUCCAAAAUCCGAACCAGUCAAAUUUCCAAACCCGCGGCGGCCCCUCUCCUCAGUUAGGGACCUCGAGCCAGACUUCUUCUAGUGAUCCUUUUGGGGCUCUGCUUCAGCCAUCGUUUCACAGUUCUAACAUGGGUGGCGGCAGUAAGCUGGCUCCAGAACCCACAGGACAAGUCAGACAGAAAAGUGAUCCAUUUGAGGACUUGAUGGGAUUAACACUAAAUCCCCCCGUGUCGAAACCUCAGCCAUCAGACAGUCAUAGGUCUACGUCAGCAAAGUCAUCAACGUUUUAUGCUCCUAAACCAAAGUGGCAGACUUUUGAUUGACCUUUCAGUCAGUUUUUUUUUAAAGCUAUUUGUUAAAUUUAUUUAUUGUUGUUACGCUGAGUUGAGGUGUGAAUGUGGGCGUGUGUUACAAGUUAAUGCUCAAAAACUACAUAUCCAUGAUAAUUUCUACGUCAGAACUGACAAAUGGGUAACAGACGCGGAGGGUAGAGCUUCUGUCAACAAAUGUUGGUACCAGUAUUUGAUUCUACUUUCAAAGUGUAUGUUUUGACUACAUUUGACCGAGAUAUAGGUGUCACAUUUCUGACUCUAUUCUAGUUUCUCUCAGACUUGUUUGUACCAGUAUUUGAUUCCAGUUCAAGGUGUAUGUUUUCACAGCAUUUAACCAAGAUAUCUGUAUCACUUUUCUGACUCAUUAUUCCAUUGUGCAGAACAGUUUGUGAAGACUGCGGCCAACUAUACUCUGGAAGGUCUGCCGUCCGCAGACGUGAUUGUCCAUCACGGCAGACGAGGCGGGCACCAGUGUUGUGAACUAGGAGUCAUCUCCAAGGACACCGCGUUUCAAGAUUCAUUGGAAGGAAUGAUCUAGUUUUUAUAUAUUGUUUAAUAAAUCGACAUUGUAAUGCAA
rnacentral:misc_RNA from 1 species